CACUGCAGAGACGGUUAUGGAAUAAAAAAAUAUCGUCGUCGUAGUCGUCGCUGUCGUCGUUGAAUGUUCAGCAAGCUAAACAAGUUGCGUCAAAGUCAAGAAUCAGUUGAGUAUUAGUUAUAAACGUGACAACUGACAAGUAAUCCCAGGCGAUCAGUGCAUAGAUCCCAGGGAUCAAUUCUUUACGUCGUAUUCCUGUGUUUAUUUGUGAAACUUCAAACUCUCCAAUUACGUGCGUGAAAAUAAAAAAACAAUGUUUGUGAUCAUGGAUUAUUGUUUCCUAUAGUACACUGUGAAUUUGGUGAUAGUAGAGAUCAUAGAAAAUCUUCAGCAAAGUAGAAAAAUCAAAUACUAAGAGAGAAAAAAGGAAAAAAGGAAGGAACACGACAGUUUUCUUACCGUGCCAAAUAAUUCAUUACCCAAUUAUUAGGGCUUGCAAAAAAUUGAGGAUAAAUAUAUUCUGACAUUCAUACAUACCUAGAUAUACCUAUAUACGUAUAUACAUAUACAUAUGUAUAAAGGUCUUGGCAUUACCGUGUGGUAUAAAUUUAACGCUUUCAGAAGCCUGCAGUUCAGAUAACCUUGUUACUUCAAAACUAUACUUAACGCACCUACGAUAUACACCAUUAAGCGUCAUUGCAUAUAGGUAUAAAAUACAGGGAGCGUCAUUGAUUCUUCAGAGUUACACUAAAAAAAGCCCAAAUUUUCAACGGGCUGUCAAGAGACGAGAGUCGAAAGAAAAUAACAUAAACAAAACCUUGAACGGCGUCGUCAAAAACUUAUCUAACAUUAUUUUCAAUCAUAUUGUAAUGUACCGAACGCACAAUAAUACAGAGAAUAAUAUCAUUGCAUCAAAAAUUAAUUUCGUUCACUCGAAGAGGAAAGGAAUCUUCAUACACCCGAAAAAAAUGUUCAAAAACACCUCGUCGACGAUACAGAUUCACCACCUCCAAAGUCCUAUAAGUCUCUUAAAUCAACAAAAUUUUUAAGUAUCUAUUCUUACUUCAUUCUUUGAUCACAUAUAGUAUUAUUGAUUACGCAUUUUUCUUCAAUGAACAUACAAUAACAUAAUAACAAAAAAAAAAAAAAUUUAAAAAUUUAAAAAAAAUUAAAAAAAAAAAAAUACGGAAACAAAAAAAAGCGCAAAACAAAUAAACAUAAAAAAAAUACAGGUAGUAGGACACCUCGAGAUUGUGAUAAAUAAUCAACAGGAUGAAAGACGCACGUUGAUUAUAAAUACACAACAUAAUAUUUGGUCCAUUUAAAUUUUUUGAAAUCAAAUAAUAUCAUUCUGACCAAAGCUGAGAUCUAAGGCAGGAUGAAGUUAUUGGAAAGCACCAGAUUUGAGGCCAUAAACAGUGCCUUGUCAAUCAAGACCGGAGACAGUAAAAUACUGGGACGAAUUGAAAGCUACUCGUGUAAAAUGGCAGGUAACGAUAAACAGCUUUACAAAAGAUUCAAUGCCGAACAGGGAGUCACUCCUCAUGAUCUUCAGGCUCUUUCACCACCUCAAACAUCCCUGGGAGCGUCACCUGCUCAAAGCUAUUUUAGUCGAAGUAUCUCCGGUGAUGAAGAUGGGCCAUUAUGUGACACCAUAAGCAGAAAAACUUUGUUUUAUCUGAUCGCAACUCUGAACGCAGCGUUUCAUCCAGAUUACGAUUUUUCCGAUGCUAAAAGUCAUGAAUUUAGCAAAGAGCCAAGCCUUCAAUGGGUUAUGAAUGCAGUUGAUAGUAAUCUCAGCGCCACAGCAGGAGAUUAUUAUCGAACCCUUCGUUCUGCACUUUGGACCGCUGUUGAGGAUGAAAUAUCCAUGGCCGAAUGUGACAUUUAUAGCUACAAUCCAGAUCUGGCUUCAGACCCGUUUGGCGAAGACGGAUGUCUUUGGUCGUUCAAUUAUUUUUUUUACAAUAAGAGACUGAAGCGAAUUGUAUUUUUCACCUGCAGAGCAAUAAACCCAAUUUAUACUUUAGAUUCUGGUGUCGGCAGUGAUUUUGCAAUGGAUGAAGACGACGAUUGAAUGCAGAUCAACGCCAACACCAACAGUCGCAGUAAAUAUUAUCUUACAUUGAAAUUUAGGUCACAGUACUCAUCACAAUUCAACUGUGGAUCGUUGCCUUUUUUCUAUUUCGACUACUAUUGAUGUUUCUAUUCAAAUUAACGUGUACCAGAGUGUGCAAAACGUACUCAGAUGCAGGUGCAGAUGUGUCAACAUACUUUCAUACUAUGACACAUUUAACUUCGUUAUUAGCGGUAUCUCAGGUGUUAUUGGUACAGAAUCGGUGAAAAAAAGAGAACAAAUGAAAGAGAAAAACGAUCAUUUAUAACUUCACCACUCUCACAUUGGUGCUGCUAGCAUCACAUCGUUAUUACCAAAAAAUUUCAGUCUUCUUAACAACGGGGUAAUUUCUCUAAUCAGAAUGUGCCUUUUCAAAGAAAAGUGGUAAUUGCAUAUUCGAAUCCAUCGUUAAUUUUCAGAAACGCAUAUGCUCAUUUUUAAGAUUCUCAACAGUUAUAUCAAACCUGACGUACAUACAUAAGUAGAUAUAGGUACUUUUAUUUUAUCGAUUGUCAGGUGUAGACUUACCGUUAUUAGGUAGCAGCUACUACAUUUUAUGACGCAAAGUAACGAAUGAAAUUUAUUUAAGGUUUAUCUAAAUAAUUACCAAUGGUAUAAUCAUCAAGAAUCUUAUACCACUUCACGGAGUAUGAUUCAAGUAAUCUAAAGAACCUCAUUGGUAUUACGAUUCAUAAUGAUGAUGGUCGUGAUAAUUAUAUUGAACAAAGAAACUCUCUAUUCUUUUCAAACCUUUGACCUACAUAUUACGAGACAUGAUUGUAGAAAUGCUAAGUUCGUAUUCAAGUUUUUUAUUUAUUCAUAGUGCACUUACAUAUAUAAGUAUAACAUUAUAUAUAAUGUAAUUUUUUUUAAUUCAUGUGGAGGUGUUAACAUCAAACAUCAAUUCAUUAUGAUCGUAAUUGAGGUCAGUAAUUGGAAUUUUUCUUCUCAAUCCGUACGUAAAAACUGUCUUCUUUAUUCGAGGUGGAUUUUACAUGCAACCUAUGAAAUCAUAAUAGGUAUGUGAAGAAUACAAGAUAGCGCCUAAAUUGCCGCAUAUAAUCCAUAUCUAGGUAUUUUUGGACUUAUUUGACAAUCAACAAUAAAGUUAUGGGAGUAACAUUCAUAUUAUUAGAGUAUCAAACAAUAAAAAUAUCAGUCAACUAAAGACUCUAACAAUUGUUCUUACGGUGAUAAAAAAAAAAAAAUAAUAAUAAUGCAACAGAACAUAGAAAAGAAUUAUAUCUACUCUAGAAAAAAAAAUAAAAAACUGUGCUGUGUUUACAAAACAUCGAGAGCUGCAUAAAAUUUGGUGAUGAAUCGAAACACAAAAAUACAACUGCAAA
rnacentral:misc_RNA from 1 species